rnacentral:rRNA from 1 species
ACUCAAAUGAAUUGACGGGGGCCCGCACAAGCGGUGGAGCAUGUGGUUCAAUUCGAUGCAACGCGAAGAACCUUACCUGGGCUUGAACCGCCAGUGAAAACCCUGGAAACAGGGCUCACCGCAAGGUCACUGGUAGAGGUGCUGCAUGGCUGUCGUCAGCUCGUGUCGUGAGAUGUUGGGUUAAGUCCCGCAACGAGCGCAACCCUUGCCCUUAGUUGCCAGCGGGUUAAGCCGGGCACUCUAAGGGGACUGCCUACGAUAAGUGGGAGGAAGGUGGGGAUGACGUCAAGUCCUCAUGGCCUUUAUGUCCAGGGCUACACACGUGCUACAAUGGCCGGUACAAAGGGUCGCGAUACCGUGAGGUGGAGCCAAUCCCAAAAAGCCGGUCUCAGUUCAGAUUGAAGUCUGCAACUCGACUUCAUGAAGGCGGAAUCGCUAGUAAUCGCGGAUCAGCACGCCGCGGUGAAUACGUUCCCGGGCCUUGUACACACCGCCCGU